GCUUGAACCACGUUACGACAUCCUGUCGCGCACCCACUUCAGCGAAAAGAUUGUGCCAGAUCUUUAUGAACAGGAGAAGAAAAAAGUUGUGGAUGAACUAGUGUUCAUCCUCUGUUGCGCUCAUGACAGAAGGUAGGACGUCCAGGGGGACGGAGAUCUGCUCACCAUCACAGCAGACUGGGAGAUGAGAAGUCCGGCUAUUAAGUUAAAAAGAAGAUAUUAUGCCAUGUGCACUUUAAGUUGAUUUCAUAUAUUUUAAUUUAAUAAUUUAAUGUUAAUAAAAAAGACAAAACGUA